rnacentral:rRNA from 1 species
UACCAGCACCCCGAGUGGUCGGGACGAUUAUUGGGCCUAAAGCAUCCGUAGCCGGCCUUACAAGUCCUCCGUUAAAUCCAGCUGCUUAACAGAUGGGCUGCGGAGGAUACUAUAAGACUAGGAGGCAGGAGAGGCAAGCGGUACUCAGUGGGUAGGGGUAAAAUCCGUUGAUCCGUUGAAGACCACCAGUGGCGAAGGCGGCUUGCCAGAAUGCGCUCGACGGUGAGGGAUGAAAGCUGGGGGAGCAAACCGG